rnacentral:lncRNA from 1 species
CCCUGAAGGCACCAUCUGACCGAAGCCAUCGCUGUCCAAUUCCCGCUGCCUAACUUAUUCCGAUACUACAAGUGGUCAAUCCCUUCAACCUUGAAUUGGCAAACAGGUUUGCGUAUCUCUAUUGUUUAUACUUUCAUUGCCAUAUCUACAUAUAUAAUGCAUCAUGAUUAAAUGUUGAUAUAUAAUUUGCUUUCGUAUGGGAAUUUAAAUAUGCCUGAAUACCCUGAUGUUUGAUCAUGUUAUUCCUGUGAUAAAAUGCCAUAAAAUUCAAA